rnacentral:sRNA from 1 species
GCCGGGUGCAGUGGCCCACGCCUGUAAUCCCAGUGACUCUAGAGGCUGAGGCAGGAGGAUCGUGAGUUCAAAGCCAGCCUCAGCAAUCUAGUGAGGCCCUAAGCAAUUCAGUGAGACCCUGUCUCUA